rnacentral:rRNA from 1 species
UAAUACGUAGGGGGCAAGCGUUGUCCGGAAUAACUGGGCGUAAAGAGCACGUAGGCGGUGUUAUAAGUCAGAUGUGAAAUAUCCCGGCUCAACCGGGAGGGUGCAUUUGAUACUGUAAGACUAGAGUGCAGGAGAGGAAAGUGGAAUUCCUAGUGUAGCGGUGAAAUGCGUAGAUAUUAGGAGGAACACCAGUGGCGAAGGCGGCUUUCUGGACUGUAACUGACGCUGAGGUGCGAAAGCCAGGGGAGCGAACGGG